rnacentral:lncRNA from 10 species
ACAGGUGUGAGCCACUGCACCCAGCCUCACAACAGGGUUGCAUUAGUGCUCUGAUCCACAGCAAUUAAGAAUCUUCAGGAGCAUGUGAAUUUAUCAAGAAGAGUCUCACUGUUGCCCAGGCUGCAGUGCAAUGGCACGAUCUCAGCUCACUGCAACCUCUGCCUCCCGGGUUCAAGCGAUUCUUCUGCCUCAGCCUUCCAAGUAGCUGGGAUUACAGG